rnacentral:rRNA from 1 species
UAGUUGCCAGCAUUCGGUUGGGCACUCUAGAGGGACUGCCGGCGACAAGUCGGAGGAAGGUGGGAUGACGUCAAAUCAUCAUGCCCCUUAUGACCUGGGCUACACACGUGCUACAAUGGGCGGUACAAAGGGCUGCGAACCCGCGAGGGGGAGCGAAUCCCAAAAAGCCGCUCUCAGUUCGGAUUGCAGGCUGCAACUCGCCUGCAUGAAGCCGGAAUCGCUAGUAAUCGCGGAUCAGCAUGCCGCGGUGAAUACGUUCCCGGGCCUU